CCUACGGGCGGCAGCAGUGGGGAAUAUUGGACAAUGGGCGAAAGCCUGAUCCAGCCAUGCCGCGUGUGUGAAGAAGGCCUUCGGGUUGUAAAGCACUUUCAGUGGGGAAGAAAGCCUUGGGGCUAAUACCCUCGAGGAAGGACAUCACCCACAGAAGAAGCACCGGCUAACUCCGUGCCAGCAGCCGCGGUAAUACGGAGGGUGCGAGCGUUAAUCGGAAUUACUGGGCGUAAGGCGCGCGUAGGCGGUCUGAUAAGCCGGUUGUGAAAGCCCCGGGCUCAACCUGGGAACGGCAUCCGGAACUGUCAGGCUAGAGUGCAGGAGAGGAAGGUAGAAUUCCCGGUGUAGCGGUGAAAUGCGUAGAGAUCGGGAGGAAUACCAGUGGCGAAGGCGGUCUUCUGGACUGACACUGACGCUGAGGUGCGAAAGCGUGGGUAGCAAACAGGAUUAGAUACCCUAGUAGUC
rnacentral:rRNA from 1 species